GACGGAGGAUGCAAGCGUUAUCCGGAAUUAUUGGGCGUAAAGCGUCCGCAGGUGGACAUACAAGUCUGCUGUCAAAGUGCAGAGCUUAACUCUGUAAAGGCGGUGGAAACUGUAGGUCUUGAGUAUGGUAGGGGUAGAGGGAAUUCCCGGUGUAGCGGUGAAAUGCGUAGAUAUCGGGAAGAACACCAGUGGCGAAAGCGGUGUACUGGGGCUGGUCUGACGCUGAGGCACGAAAGCCAGGGGAGCGAACGGG
rnacentral:rRNA from 1 species